UGAAGUGCUGUACUUAGGUUUCCAAGACCCUAUGCUUGCCUCAGUUUCCCUCAAGUCCAUUUCCACCCAAUUCCAUUGAAGAGGAUGCUCUGUCAUUCUGCUGCCUUUCACAGUGAGGAGAAUCACUCUGUUCCUACUGAUUGAGUAACCUGCUUCCUUUCUUCUUCAUUUCCAAUGAUACAGACAGGACCUGGACUAGCUUAGACGAAUGAGGCACUUGCCUCUGGCACAAAAGGGGGCACCAAACACCUCGGUAAUCAAGGGAUACUGCUGGAAGAUGGACAGUGAAUUGUCAGAAUUCAGAAGUUCCAGGUCAGAGGUUGACUCAGCCACCCCUGGGCUGAUGGAACCAUCAGAAGGAUCCUCUGAUUCAGUCCCCAAACUGGGCCCUGUGGAGCAGCAUCCCAGACAGCAGGAAUCGGACCUGCAAUUACUCCUUGGGACUCAGGGAGGAGUUUUAACAAGAAAACUGCACAUCUUCAGAGCAGGUGGUCUUUUCUGUCUCUAUAAUCAAACAAAAAUUUUUUUCGACUGUUCUAUAACAGACUGCUGCCUGGGAUCCUAGAACUGUUGCGUUUUUGAUCUUCCUCUUCGCAGCAUGGACAGUGGAUCCCCUUGAUCUGCAAGCCCUGCCCUGCCUCUCUCUGCACGCUGGGGGUUCAGGGAGGCUACACCCUUGGGGGGCACUGGGAGCUGCUGGAGAUGUGCACAGCGAGCAGUGGAGAGCAGUCGUCUCUUCUGAUCUACAUGCAGGGGAACUGGUGAGAGUUGCCGUAGGACCUCUGGUGAAAUUACCUUGGCUACUGACUAGUAAAGAGAUGAGAAAGGAGAGGUACUAUAGAUUUUCUUUAAGAAAUAAAUAUUGUCUCCUCUUUCUCUCUUUUCUCUGGUAAACAGUGCCCAAAUUUGGAAAUAUCACGUGUAAUUUAUUGUCCCACUUUAAAUGUUUCUUGUAACCAUGAAUUACUAUUCUUGGAUCAGAUUCCAUUAUAAUAAACUCCCACUUGGACUCCAAA